AAUUACAAAUAUGAUAAAAACAAUAUAAUGGUUAGUUUCUAAAUUAAGCAUAAAUUGUUUAUAAAGUUAGUUAGACCAAAAGCCAUUGGUCCCACUCGUGAGCCAAGUUUGAGGUAUUUUAGUUUAGGUUUGAGUGGGAAUAUAAGUACCCCUGGCUUUGUAGAUAAUUACGAUUUCAGGAUUAUUGUUAGAAGAAAUAAACUUUGGUUUCUGGUCGUCCCUGAUUGGUUGAUGAAUAUCCCAGAAAUAAAAAAUUCAAUAAAAAAGGCUGUUUUGUGGAGAUUAUUUACAUUAACUGCCACUAUCCCAGAAAAGCCAUUGGAGAUGGCCUGAGACUCCCUGACAUGUGACAGGUUUUAAGUGAAGGCACUGAUAUUAAUGAGCGGACAUAAUCUAGAACGAAAAAACCCAAAUCGACGACGCAGAUUUCCAGGCUCAGAUUCUCUCUGUAGGCUGUGAGGUUAUCUCUGCUUGUUUGGAUGAGAAGAUCAGAGUCUAAGA